rnacentral:lncRNA from 1 species
GCCUAUAUAUUUGCAUGGAGUCCAUGUCCGGCUUCUGACGGCAUGUAAGUAGGCCAAAUGAAAUUGUCAUGUGGAUUGCAAUGUAUACAACUCACAUGCAUGCACAUUGUAUCCUUUCCCUUACCAGAUUCUAAACUGGACUAAAGCAUUAAUAAGAAUUCCUCUAGCUUACAUUACUUUGGGCAAUGGAGAGGGUUGUAGGUCGCUUCCUGUUGUAUUCCAUUAUCUUCUCAUCAGACACUUGGGCAUCCCAAUUUUGACCCCAAUUCAGUUGUUCUCGCAGAUUUUCACCUAGGGCAUUUGCAUCCCCAUGAUUAGGCGUGAUUGUCAGGUCCUUAAAUGGAGAACAUUCUUCUGAUCGUAAUGGAGAUGCAGGUGGAUGAUGAUUAUUCAUCUGUGUGAAGGUAAAUCCAUGGGGAAGUGAAGAAAUCAGUACACGCACAUAAUUGAGCAUAAAUACUCGCUCCUUAUUGAUGAUGAUUACUUACGAGAAAGGAUAUGGGUUUCCUUGGCGCUCCAAUUGGUGAGGGAUUUGUUGCAGAAAGAGCUCCAUGGGCAUGUUGUGGGAGGCAUGGAGGGCCGUCGGCGACGUGCGCGGGUAGGCGUGGAGCGGACGCGCGCUGGGGGCGGCCGGGCGCGGGGGCGCGCAAGGCGGCGUUUGGGACGGGGACUGGCGGGGGAGCAGGGGCGGCCGGACGGGCGCGGACGCCGGGGGAGGCCGGGCGCGGCGGGCACUGUGGGAGGAGUGUUGGCUGUGGUAGGAGCAAGGGCGGACGGGGAGCAGGGGCGACCGAGCGUGGAGCCAGGAGCGGGGCGGAGGGGCGGCUGGGCGCGUCGGAUGCAGCGGGGCAGAGGAGGAUUAAGCGGAGGGCGUGGGUUGCUGCGUGGAGGAAAGUUUAGUGGCUUAACCGUACACUAACCGCGUGGUUGAUGCUAAACAUUAAACAUUGAGAUGAUUUUGAUCGUUAGAUCUCUCCAUUAGACGGUUGAGAUGUAUUGGUUCUCUGCCCUCUCAUGUUUUUAUAGGGGUAGUAGAUGCUUAAUUUGCUGCUCAUGUGUUGUCCCUUCUGUUGCCAGGACGAAAUGCUUCUCGGAAUUCUUAAAGAGGAAGACAAUGGAGCCAUGAUGUUGUUGUGCAACAGGCUAUGUUUUUUGCAAUACCAUUUGUCUUGGCUGUGUAUCUUACUUUGUGUGUGCUGGGAUACUCAAAAAGCUAUCUCUGUAAUUUAAAUCUGUGUUAUGUUGUCUGGCGUGUGUAACCUUAUUUUGUGUGUGCUGGGAUACUCAAAAAGAUAUCUGUCUAAUUUAAAUCUGUGUUAUGUUGUCUGGCGUGUGUAAUCUUAUUUUGUGUGUGCUGGGAUAUUCAAAAAGAUAUCUGUCUAAUUUAAAUCUGUGGUGUAUUCUUCACUGAACUUUACUUGUAGUACAGUUUCAGGUCUAAAAAGGUUAAACGACCUAAUAAUACAUAAUGGAUUGGACAUGGGCUUUGGCCCAGUAAAAUAAAU